rnacentral:rRNA from 1 species
ACGGAAGGUCCAGGCGUUAUCCGGAUUUAUUGGGUUUAAAGGGAGCGUAGGCGGGGAGUCAAGUCAGUUGUGAAAAGCCACGGCCCAACCGUGGUCGUGCAGUUGAAACUGGUUCUCUUGAGUGCGCACGAGGACGGUGGAAUUCGUGGUGUAGCGGUGAAAUGCUUAGAUAUCACGAAGAACUCCGAUUGCGAAGGCAGCCGUCCGGAGCGUUACUGACGCUGAGGCUCGAAGGUGCGGGUAUCAAACAG